rnacentral:rRNA from 1 species
GACGUCGGCGCGGCGUGCCUAACACAUAGCAAGUCGAACGGAUUAUUUCAGCAAUGAAAUCUUAGUGGCGAACGGGUGAGUAACGCGUAGACAACCUACCUUCUAGAUGGGGACAACACUGCGAAAGUGGUGCUAAUACCGAAUGUUGUACUUUGAUUGCAUAACCGAAGUACUAAAGAUGGCCUCUAUUUAUAAGCUAUCGCUAGAAGAUGGGUCUGCGUCUGAUUAGCUAGUUGGUGAGGUAAUGGCUCACCAAGGCGACGAUCAGUAGCCGGUCUGAGAGGAUGAACCGGCCCCACACCUGGGGGAACUGAGAACACCGGCCCCCAGAAACUCCCUNCANGNGANUCUGACGGAGCACGCCGCGUGAGUGAAGAAGGUUUUCGGAUCGUAAAACUCUGUUUUUCAGGGACGAAUGUGCAGCUUGUAAAUAAUGAGUUGUAAUGACGGUACCUGAGUAGAAAGCCACGGCUAACUACGUGCCAGCAGCCGCGGUAAUACGUAGGUGGCAAGCGUUGUCCGGAAUUAUUGGGCGCAAAGCGCGCGCAGGUGGGAUAUUAAGUCUGGUGUUAAAGUUCGGGGCUCAACCCCGUGAAGCAUUUGGAAACUGAUAUUCUUGAGUGCAGGAGAGGAAAGUGGAAUUCCUAGUGUAGCGGUGAAAUGCGUAGAUAUUAGGAGGAACACCAGUGGCGAAGGCGACUUUCUGGACUGUGUCUGACACUGAGGCGCGAAAGCCAGGGUAGUGAACGGGAUUAGAUACCCCGGUAAUCCUGGCCGUAAACGAUGGGUACUAGGUGUUGGGGGUAUCGACCCCUCCAGUGCCGGAGUUAACGCAAUAAGUACCCCGCCUGGGGAGUACGGCCGCAAGGUUGAAACUCAAAGGAAUUGACGGGGGCCCGCACAAGCGGUGGAGUAUGUGGUUUAAUUCGACGCAACGCGAAGAACCUUACCAGGACUUGACAUUGAGUGAAAUGUUAAGAGAUUAGCACCUUAUCUUCGGAUAACACGAAAACAGGUGGUGCAUGGCUGUCGUCAGCUCGUGUCGUGAGAUGUUGGGUUAAGUCCCGCAACGAGCGCAACCCUUAUCUUAUGUUGCCAGCACGUAAUGGUGGGAACUCAUGAGAGACUGCCGUGGAUAACACGGAGGAAGGUGGGGAUGACGUCAAGUCAUCAUGCCCCUUAUGUCCUGGGCUACACACGUACUACAAUGAGUUUUUAAUANAGGGAUGCAAGACCGCGAGGUGGAGCCAAACCCACUUUUUUUUAUCUCGUCAGUUCGGAUCGGAGGCUGCAACUCCGCCUCCCGUCGAAGUUCGGAAUCGCNAGUGAAUCGCANAUUCNCCAUGCNGCGCGUGCAAUACGCUNCGGGCCGGNAAACCGNUNANAANUUGUANCAAANGGANGAA